rnacentral:rRNA from 1 species
GAUGAACGCUGGCGGCGUGCCUAAUACAUGCAAGUCGAGCGAAUGAAUUAAGAGCUUGCUCUUAUGAAGUUAGCGGCGGACGGGUGAGUAACACGUGGGUAACCUGCCCAUAAGACUGGGAUAACUCCGGGGAACCGGGGCUAAUACCGGAUAACAUUUUGAACCGCAUGGUUCGAAAUUGAAAGGCGGCUUCGGCUGUCACUUAUGGAUGGACCCGCGUCGCAUUAGCUAGUUGGUGAGGUAACGGCGCACCAAGGCAACGAUGCGUAGCCGCCCUGGGAGGGUGGUCGCCCACCCGGGGACUGAGACACGGCGCAGACUCGUACGGGAGGGAGCAGUAGGGAAUCUUCCGAAAUGGACGAAAGUCUGACGGAGCAACGCCGCGGGAGUGAUGAAGGCUUUCGGGUCGUAAAACUCUGUUGUUAGGGAAGAACAAGUGCUAGUUGAAUAAGCUGGCACCUUGACGGUACCUAACCAGAAAGCCACGGCUAACUACGUGCCAGCAGCCGCCGUAA